rnacentral:rRNA from 1 species
AUUGAACGCUGGCGGCAGGCCUAACACAUGCAAGUCGAGCGGAUGAAGGGAGCUUGCUCCUGGAUUCAGCGGCGGACGGGUGAGUAAUGCCUAGGAAUCUGCCUGGUAGUGUGGGAUAACGUCCGGAAACGGGCGCUAAUACCGCAUACGUCCUGAGGGAGAAAGUGGGGGAUCUUCGGAUCUCACGCUAUCAGAUGAGCCUAGGUCGGAUUAGCUAGUUGGUGGGGUAAAGGCCUACCAAGGCGACGAUCCGUAACUGGUCUGAGAGGAUGAUCAGUCACACUGGAACCUCGACACGAUCCAGACUCCUACGGGAGGCAGCAGUGGGGAAUAUUGGACGAUGGGCGAAAGCCUGAUCCAGCCAUGCCGCGUGUGUGAAGAAGGUCUUCGCAUUGUAAAGCACUUUAAGUUGGGAGGAACGGCAGUAAGUUAAUACCUUGCUGUUUUGACGUUACCAACAGAAUAAGCACCGGCUGACUUCGUG